AUUUAAUACAUUUUUUUAAAAUAACUAACAUAUUUUUUAAUAAAAAUUUAGAACAUAAUGUUAAACUAUUAUGGAAAAAUAUUUUUGUCGAUAAUAUUAUUAACCUAUUGGAUAGUGAUAAAAAAGUAAUUUCGGAAUAUACCGAAAGUGUUGGUAGUAUACCUAAACCUGUUUAUUUUGAUGAACAAAAUAUGGAACAUGUAUUUUUUUACGAGAGUGCGCUUAGCAUCUUUAAAAAGGUUUUUAAAAGAUUGCUUCAGGUUGAGCCGCUGAUGGUUGGGCAAGUUUUUUAUUAUAAAAAGAAAGAUGUAGGAAAAGGUGGUGUUAGUGCAAGCGUGGGUGGUGUAACCCAAAACAUAACAACUAAACAAACAAAAUUUACUAUAACCAAUUUUCCAAAUAUAUCGUUCGAAACUGCAAUUACAACAUUAAUCGAAAAGAAUAAUAUAAAAAUUGAUUUACAAAAAUUAUUUUAUUUUUUAAAAGUCAUAAAAAAAAAUACCAAUUUGGAAUUUUAUUUAAAAUUGCAAAAUGAAUUGUUUAAUUUGUUUAAUAAUCCCUCAUUCAUUAUUUCUUUGAAAUAUGUUCAGAAUAAAGGGAAUAGUACGUACUGUAAGAAGAGUAGUGAUAUUAAUGACUUAACGAAAAAAGAAGAUCUAUAUGAGUGCAAACGGGAAGAAGAACAAAAAUGGAAUGCAGAACAAAAACGGGAAGAAGAACAAGGGUAUCAAGAAAUGGGACAUACUACGGACGGAGAAAACGAUUUUAAUUUUUUUACGCCACUUAAUUAUAACCUAGAAAACAAUAAAAUCGAUAUUAACUUUAUUUUUAGUUUAUCUAAUAUAAGAUGUACAAAUUAUAAUUUCAAAAAAUUAAAUUUAUUAGACUUUUAUAGAAUAAGCAAUAAUAUAAUUCCUUCUAUUAUUACAACAGUAUCUAUGAUUACAGCACUAGUUGCGUUCGAGUUGUACAAAUUGGUUUAUUUUUUGAUGCUAAGUAAAGAUAAGAGUUUGGAAAGUUGUUUGGAAAGUAGCUUGGGUGAUAGUGUGGGGAAUGGGUCGGACGACAAUUUGGACAGUGCUAGUCAUAUUUGCAAUAAUAAAAUCAACAGUAGAAAAACAUGUGGUCUCAAGAAUGAAGCUUUAAAAACACGAAGGAAAUUAUACAACUUUCAUAAAAUUGGUGAUUUCAAUUUAUAUAUUUAUAAAGAUAAAAUCUAUGUAAAAAAAAAUAAUAAAACAAUAUUUUACUUUUUUAAUAUAAAAUAUGAAAAAUUGAAAAAAAUAGCUAAUUAUAUUAAUAAUCAUUAUAUAAAUUUGCAAGACAAUUUUUUCACAUCUUCAGAG
rnacentral:lncRNA from 1 species